CGUGUAUCCUCACCUCAUCAGUGUAUUAAAACCUCAUCAGUGUAUCCUCACCUCAUCCGUGUAUUAAAACCUCAUCAGUGUAUUAAAACCUCAUCUGUGUAUUAACCAUGUGCAGCAUUCGACAAAGAUUUAGUCCUACUGUAGAGUGCCCCAUAGUGGAGAAAGGAGGUCAAACCUAGUGUGUAGAUUCUACCAGCAGUCAGUCAGGUGGUCCUAGUAGUCAUAGCGUUGCGUCUCAAAUGGAAUCCCAUUCCCUAUAUAGUGCACUACUUUGAAACUUCAGAACCCACAGGGCUCUGGUCUAAAGUAGUGUACAAUAUAGGGAAUAGGGUGUCAUAGGGCUCUGGUCUAAAGUAGUGUACAAUAUAGGGAAUAGGGUGCCAUUUUAGAUGUACCACUAUUAUGCAAUCAACUCAUGUAAAAGUUAGUUACUGAGCUCCUCCUCAAUGACGUGGUGAUACAGAGGGAGGUCCUCCUCAGUGAUGUGGUGUUAGAGGGAGGUCCUCCUCAGUGAUGUGGUGUUAGAGGGAGGUCCUCCUCAGUGAUGUGGUGAUACAGAGGGAGGUCCUCCUCAGUGAUGUGGUGUUAGAGGGAGGUCCUCCUCAACGACGUGGUGAUACAGAGGGAGGUCCUCCUCAGUGAUGUGGUGUUAGAGAGGGAGGGAUGUGGUGAUACAAAGGGAGGUCCUCCUCAACGACGUGGUGAUACAAAGGGAGGUCCUCCUCAACGACGUGGUGAUACAAAGGGAGGUCCUACUCAGUGACGUUGUGUUAGAGAGGGAGGUCCUCCUCAGUGACAUGGUGUUAGAGAGGGAGGUCCUCCUCAGUGACGUGGUGUUAGAGAGGGAGGUCCUCCUCAACAACGUGGUGUUAGAGAGAGAGGUCCUCCUCAGUGAUGUGGUGUUAGAGGGAGGUCGUCCUCAGUGACGUGGUGAUACAGAGGGAGGUCCUCCUCAGUGAUGUGGUGUUAGAGGGAGGUCCUCCUCAACGACGUGGUGAUACAGAGGGAGGUCCUCCUCAACGACGUGGUGAUACAGAGGGAGUUCCUCCUCAGUGACGUGGUGUUAGAGGGAUGUCCUCCUCAGUGACGUGGUGUUACAAGAGGGAGGUCCUCCUCAGUGACGUGGUGUUAGAGAGGGAGGUCCUCCUCAGUGACGUGGUGUUAGAGAGGGAGGUCCUCCUCAACGAUGUGGUGAUAUAGAGGGAGGUCCUCCUCAGUGACGUGGUGAUACAGAAGGAGGUCCUCCUCAGUGACGUGGUGUUAGAGAGGGAGGUUCUCCUCAGUGACGUGGUGAUACAGAAGGAGGUCCUCCUCAGUGACGUGGUGUUACAGAGGGAGGUCCUCCUCAGUGACGUGGUGUUACAGAGGGAGGUCCUCCUCAGUGACGUGGUGUUAGAGAGGGAGGUCCUCCUCAGUGACGUGGUGUUAGAGAGGGAGAUCCUCCUCAGUGACGUGGUGUUAGAGAGGGAGGUCCUCCUCAGUGACGUGGUGAUACAGAGGGAGGUCCUCCUCAGUGACGUGGUGAUACAGAGGGAGGUCCUCCUCAGUGACGUAGUGUUAGAGGGAGGUCCUCCUCAGUGAUGUGGUGUUAGAGGGAGGUCCUCCUCAGUGAUGUGGUGUUAGAGAGGGAGGUCCUUUCUAACUACAGUAGAAAUAGUAGAAUGUCUUUGCUACAGUGUUCAUCCAUCAUCCAUCCAUCCAGCCAUCUAUCCAUCAUCUAUCCAUCAUCCAUCCAUCCAGCCAUCAUCCAUCCAUCCAUCCAGCCAUCUAUCCAUCAUCUAUCCAUCAUCCAUCCAUAUAUCCCUCCCUCCAUCCAUCCAGCCAGCCAUCUGUCCAUCAUCCAUCCAGCCAUCUAUCCAUCAUCCAUCCAUCAUCCAUUCAUUCAAUCAUCCAUUCAUUAUUCAUUCAUUCGUUCGUUCAUUCAUCCAUCCAUAUAUCCAGCCAGCCAGCCAGCCAGCCAGUCAGUCAGUCAGCCAGCCAGGUAUAUCUGCAGGUAGCAGGUUCUUCUCUUGCUAUCGGAAUGACAGUGAUGACAUCGAGCUAGUUGAAUCACACUGAUGAUGUCAUCAAGCUUCAGAGUCAACUGUGUACCCCUCCGUAUCUCCAUGGUAACCUCCUGCGGAGCCAGCAGGGCGUCCCAGACAGUCCCUCAGCUGCUCCAGUGGUUCUGCUACUCCUCAGUGACACAUCCCAGAAGUCAUCU
ensembl:lncRNA